rnacentral:rRNA from 1 species
UGAGGAAUAUUGGUCAAUGGACGAGAGUCUGAACCAGCCAAAUCGCGUGAAGGAAGACUGCCCUACGGGUUGUAAACUUCUUUUGUACAGGAAUAAAAGACAUUACGUGUAAUGUAUUGCAUGUACUGUACGAAUAAGCAUCGGCUAACUCCGUGCCAGCAGCCGCGGUAAUACGGAGGAUGCGAGCGUUAUCCGGAUUUAUUGGGUUUAAAGGGUGCGCAGGCGGGAUUUUAAGUCAGCGGUGAAAUUUUCAGGCUCAACCUGAACACAGCCGUUGAAACUGGGAUUCUUGAGUAUUGAUGAAGUAGGCGGAAUUCGUUGUGUAGCGGUGACAUGCUUAGAUAUAACGAGGAACUCCGAUUGCGUAGGCAGCUUACUAAGCCAUAACUGACGCUCAAGCACGAAAGCGUGGGGAUCAAAC